rnacentral:lncRNA from 1 species
GCUCUACUUCUCAUUCAGUCUCCCUCCAUCUUCUUCCUGCAACCUAAUGUCAUUCUGGGAUUUACCUGUUGCCCUUCCAGGUGAAGAAGAUGGAAAAGGGGAUAAAAAAACUGCUUCAUUUGACUUCAAGAAAAAAAUCCUCCAAUACUAGGACAAAUAAGGUGAAGAGAGUGAAGAAGUCCAAGAAGUUUCAACCAUUAUCCGGGACUGAUUAGAAGCCAAAGCCAAAUCACUCAGGCCAACCUCCAGGGACUCCACAAGAUAACACUCCUUCAAGACACAAAUCCAUCUGAAGCAAAGCUCCUUACUUCAGAAGAUUGGCAUUUCUGGAGCUGUUUAUUGAAAUUCUGGACCAUGAACUUCUGCCCUGAUGACAGGUGGUUUCUGUGGCCUAGCUCCAGAGAUCUGUCGCUUGGCCCUCAACCCCCACUUGCCAAAUCAUCCUGAAAAAGGAUC